CUGCUAACGUGUCUACUGUGAGACACAGCCACUUAUCAAUCCCCAUCCCAUCUAACAUGUAAUAAAACAAAAACUAAAUAUAUGAUAUUAAAAAAAAAGAAAAAAAAAAGAAGAGGCAUAUAGCCUUCCCCAUCACUCUCACCGACGCACAGUCGCACCACCCGAUCCCCCUCCCUUUCUUCGUCCUCUCUCUCUCUCUCUCUCCCUCUCUCCCUCUCUCCGUCCCUUUCUCCCCCAUCCCAUCUUCUCGAGUUCUCUGAUUCCCCCCCCCCUCUUCGCGAUCUACCUCUCCUUCGAGAGGCUUCUCGAGUCCAGGCCCUGCGAUGCCGAUCAGACCUAGCUCAUCGAUCGCUCUCUCCAAUUGGGCUCUGUGCUCCUCGAGGCUGCUAAUCGUUCUGCGAGAAAACCAGCCUCCAAGCACAACUCUCUCACCUGUACUCUCCCCUCAAACCUCCCUCCAAGCACAAUUUGUAUAUAUUGAUAGGGAUGGGGAGCUGGGAGGAUAGUGGGACGGAGAGAGAGAGGGGGGGACGAAGAGAGGGAGAGUGCUCUGGUGGGGAAGAGCCAGGUGCGCCGCUAUCACGAACACAUUCAGACCACGAGCUGACGCAAGUGGAAAUCAUGCUUCUCUGUUUUUCUAGUUCUGUAGUCGCCGCUAAUCAUGCUGCUUUGAUUUUCCAUUGAUGUUUGCUUUGUUACUCUCAAAAAGUUUCCUUCCUUUAUUUUUUAUUUAUUUCGAUAAUGAAAUUUGAAAUUUGAAUUGUGUGUUGCUUUGUUACUCUCAAUAAAUCUUCCUUCUUUUUCUUUUUUCUUACAGGAAUUGGGUUUUGGUGUUUCACCAACGAGCUGACGCCAGAGAGAGAGGGAUGGGGUUGGUGUGGGUGCGAUUGAGGGGUGAACAAGGGGUGCUGGGUUUGUUGGGCUGAGGAAGGGCUGGGAUUUUUUAAGAGUGAGGGAGUGACCACAGUUUUGAUAUAUUGGUGUCUAUUUUUAUUGGAGCUGAUUUUGUUUGCCUCACCUUACCAGUGGGUAUAUUCCUGAAUUCUCAGAGGUUUAGUAAUUUGCUUUUACAAAUACCAUGAUCGUUUUGGGAAAUCUCUCUUUCUGGAGGCAGAUUCCAGAGCCGUUUAAGGGAAAUUCGUAGUCGAGCUACCGAUGUUCAUGAUAAGGAAAAGGGAAUCAAGAUUACUGAGAAGGAUUGGGAAAAGUUGAAUGUACAAUUGCUUCAUACAACAAUUUUCCUACUGCUGCUGGAUUGGCUUCCUCAGCAGCUGGUUUUGCUUGUCUUGUUUUUGCCCUCGCAAAGUUAAUGAAUGCGAAUGAAGAUCACAGCCAGCUUUCUGCUACUGGAAUCAAUCUGAGAUUUUAAUAAGCCAUCGCAAUCUGACUAAGUUUUACAGAAUACUUAACACAAUAGUAAGUGCUGAUAUCGACCCUGAAGAACGUCUCCUUGACAGUAGCUUAAUUGAUUUUGACAGAGCAAGCCUCCUUUAUGCCAUUGGGAAUAAUAAUGCGUCCAUUGAUCAGCCCGCCCACAUUUUCCGAGCCAUUUGCCUGGCUGCAACCCCAGACGACUACUACGAAACUCAUUCCCUGCCUUUUGGGUCGUUGAUCACUAGGUUUGCCAUGGCGUCUAAAGUGCGAAUUGAUCCUACGGAUCAGCUUAAACAACUUAUGCCACCUAUCAACUAGAUGAUGUUUCAUAAUGAUCAGACAGAUGAAACAAGUGAAGAAUCUGUUGUUGGAUUUACUCCUCCUCCUGCACCUGCUUCGGAGCCAAGUCCUCCACAGCUUAAUCAGCCUCCUCUGUCCCAGACAAAAAGCUUUGAGAAGUUUUCUAUAAAGCUGAGAAAGCGCAUGGCCCGACUUGCCAAUGAGGUCGUUAAGCUCACCGGUUGCGUACAUUGGGGCAUCCCAUUGAAAGAGCCAUUUACAGGUCAUUCUAAUGUUGAGCUUGCUUUAGUUUAUAUGUGUUUUUGUCCUUUUCAGCUUUGUUAAACCCUGUCUUCAACUUUCAUUUCUAAUCCAUUGAUUAUCUAUGAGUUGUUAGGCUUUUGUUUCCAUUUGUUUAUUCAGUUGUUCUUCUUUUAUACCCUCUCAUUUGUUUCUGCUCCUCUGUCUUAUGAUUUUCCACUUCCACUUAUCACUCCCUUGUCAUACACACUUGCAGUACAAGAUAAAUAGAAUCUGAAGUUUGCCUUGUUCUGGAUGAUAAAUAGAAUUCUAUUUAGUUAUAUAUUUUCAAAGAUACAAGUUAAAUAAAGACGAUGUAGCGAGCACCAUAAGCUUCAAAAGAAUUUUCCUAGUUCUAGGCUUAAGUAUAUUUUUUAUCUAAAGGACCUCUGAGUUGACUGCAGGAACUGAUUCAGCCUAAUACUGUAAAAGAAUUGUCCCUUGAAUAUCUUUUUAUGUACAGCUGGUAAGAAAAUUUUCGGGUUUUUACUGGUGGAAGGAAAGUAAUAAACUUGAAGUUAGCAACUAGCACUGAAUGCUUCUGUGGUUAGUGAUUUAGUAUUAAAGAGAAGCUCUGUUUCUGAUCAUAUAUGUAAGAUUGAUUUUGAUUGCAUUAAUUAGUAAAAAAGAUAAGCUCUGUUUCAGAUCAUAUAUGUAUUCUUUUAGUCAACUAAUGAGAUGGGGUGGUUAACAUUUAUUUAAGUGUGACUGGAACAGUUUUGAGUGAUGAAUUUUCCUAUUUUCACUAGGGAGCUGCCUUUGAAUUUGAUAUUUUCGGGAGUGAUUCGAUGCUUUUCUCUCGUUUGAAAACUUAACAAAAUUAAAUAUUCACAAUAUUCCCCAUCGUCUGUAUAAUAAAAAUGAAACUGCUUCUACAUGUGAUUAUGAACUCCAACACAUCUUGUGUCCUUGUGGUUGUAAUAGUCAGCAGUUAAUGCACUUCUUUGCUGCUUUAGUGGAUGUUUUUUAUGCUUUA